AGAUCAGGAAAGACUACCCGCUGAGUUUAAGCAUAUCAAUAGCCGGAGGAA
rnacentral:rRNA from 1 species